rnacentral:tRNA from 1 species
ACCCUGUUAGCUCAGCUGGUAGAGAAUCUGCCUGCAAUGCAGGAGACCCUGGGUUGAUUCCCAGGUUGGGGA